CUAGCAAUCAGCAAGACUCUGUGGGCGUAGGACCCUCCGAGCCAGGUGCCGGAUAUAAUCUCGUGGUGUGCCGUUUUUUAAGCCGGUCCGAAAAGCGCAAUAUUCGGGUGGGAGUGACCUGAUUUUCCAGAUAAUUGACAAUAGGCUCCCAUGGAAGUCUUCUGUGCAUUUCUGCAAAAAUUUAGGAAACAUUAGGUUUGACACCAUCAUCAUGUUUGCCAAGGCAGCAAAAAUCCCAGCCGGCAAAGCUUCAAGUGUGAUGAAGCGGAACAGCAAGGACAGCACGGAAUGACUGAUCAUUUCAGAAUGCCGUCUAGCGAGAGUUUCCAAUGUGGGAGUUUUCCAUUGUUUUGAAGCAGGAGAAAUAGGGACCGGCUGCUUUGGAAGAAACAUGCUGUAGGUUAACAGAGGAAAGUGGGCUGGGGAUUUGGCUAAGGGAACUGGCUCUCAUGUCCAGUAGUCAUUCGCCUCCCACAUCCUCCUGCCUGGCAG
rnacentral:lncRNA from 10 species